GGAAGUGGAUAGGGCACUGGUGGCCCUCCCGGACUUCAAAUCCGGUGUAGCGGGUUAACAGCCUGCUAGGUGGGUUCGAUUCCCAUGCACUUCCGCCA
rnacentral:tRNA from 2 species